rnacentral:lncRNA from 1 species
GUGUGCUGCGGGUGCUGCGAUCGCCUGUUCGAGCCUUCGAUUGCACGUCCUGAGCCAUCAAUGCCGGUCUCCGGUCCCGGCCAGGGCUCGCCCUGGUCGGCCAGUCGCCCUGCUGACUCGGUACCACUGGAGUGUUUCCUCAAGAACGGCCCAAUGUCGCCUUCCAGAGACACUUCUGG